rnacentral:rRNA from 1 species
GGGAACUGCGUUCUGAACUGGGUGACUAGAGUGUGUCAGAGGGAGGUAGAAUUCCACGUGUAGCAGUGAAAUGCGUAGAGAUGUGGAGGAAUACCGAUGGCGAAGGCAGCNUCCUGGGAUAACACUGACGCUCAUGCCCGAAAGCGUGGGUAGCAAACAGGAUUAGAUACCCUGGUAGUNCACGCCCUAAACGAUGUCGAUUAGCUGUUGGGCAGCAUGACUGCUUAGUAGCGAAGCUAACGCGUGAAAUCGACCGCCUGGGGAGUACGGUCGCAAGAUUAAAACUCAAAGGAAUUGACGGGGACCCGCACAAGCGGUGGAUGAUGUGGAUUAAUUCGAUGCAACGCGAAGAACCUUACCUGGUCUUGACAUGUACGGAACCCUCCAGAGACGGAGGAGUGCCUUCGGGAGCCGUAACACAGGUGCUGCAUGGCUGUCGUCAGCUCGUGUCGUGAGAUGUUGGGUUAAGUCCCGCAACGAGCGCAACCCUUGUCAUUAGUUGCCAUCAUUAAGUUGGGCACUCUAAUGAGACUGCCGGUGACAAGCCGGAGGAAGGUGGGGAUGACGUCAAGUCCUCAUGGCCCUUAUGACCAGGGCUUCACACGUCAUACAAUGGUCGGUACAGAGGGUAGCCUAGCCGCGAGGUGGAGCCAAUCUCACAAAACCGAUCGUAGUCCGGAUUGCACUCUGCAACUCGAGUGCAUGAAGUCGGAAUCGCUAGUAAUCGCAGGUCAGCAUACUGCGGUGAAUACGUUCCCGGGUCUUGUACACACCGCCCGUCACACCAUGGGAGUGGGGGAUACCAGAAGUAGGUAGGGUAACC